GAGACAGACGAGCCACCCAGCGACAAUGAGAUUGAAGUUGACGACCAAGCAACUGAGGAACUGAGCGGGUACGCCUCAUCCAGCUCCGAAGUAGGUGAAGCCUUAUGGAGGCUGUAUACUGAGCGUGAGUUUCUCAGCGGCGACGAAGCCAACGUGGCCGUGGUGGAAAGGCGAGAUUCGCUUGAUGAAGGUACUACAGACCAAUACCCAUCACAGGAAAGCAGCAUCUGCUGCACUCCUACUUCAGCUGUCUUCAGGUGAAGUUGAUAUCGCUUGGUACAAGAGCCAUGGAUCACUGGUAAUAGGAUCUGUGAUUCAGUGUUCAGGCACUGAAGAUAUCACCACGGUCAGCCUAGAAUAGGGCGUAGGAAGUACAGGCUGGCCUCUUUUCACCUGACACAUGACGAUCAGGGCCCUUUCCCACUCACAGCACUAAUGGAGUUGGUGAAGAACACAAACCCGAUGGACACGAUGCUACUGCUGGGAGGGGACGCAAAUGCCCAUCAUUACCAAUGGGACUAGGUAAGUCACUUUAUAAAUAUUUGCUAAGCACAAAUCUGUCUAUUUGCAACAAUGGAAGUGACCCUACCUUUCCCACAACCAAUCGCAGGGAGGUUCUUGACAUCACCCUCGUCAGUGAAACUUACUGUAAUCAGAUCUCUGCGUGGAAGGUCCUGAAAGAACACUCUUUCUCAGACCACAGGUUCAUAGAAUUUAGCAUAUAAGACUCGCCUCCCGUCUCUAAAGAGAUACGAAAUGUCCAGAAAUUUAAUUGGGGCUAUUACAAAAAACUUGUAUAUAAGAACCUACCUUCUGAACCAUUCAAUAUACCAGAAAGUAGGGAGGAACUUGAUCUACUAGUUUGCUUUUUUGCUGAGAGUUGCGAGACAGCACUUAUCAAGGCAUGACCCACGAGGAAAACUAGGGAGGCGUACAACCCUCUCUGGUGGUCCUCCGAUCUAAAUAAACUUCGCAUAUAAUGUAGGAAAGCAUUCAAUACUGCUAAGCACGACGCCCUAGAGUAAUCUUGGGCACAAUAUAAAUUGCCACUUAACAUAUACAAGAAAACCAUUAGGAAAGCAACACGCACCUCGUGGAGUGAUUUUUGUAGUGGGAUAGAGGCUACAUCCGAAGCCUCUAGACUCCGUAAGGUACUCGCAAAAUCACCUACAGCAGCUAGCUAUAUUCAAAAGGAUGAUGGGUCCUGGACCGACUCAAUUUCCGAAACCAUUAAAUUAAUCUUAGAUAAUCACUUCCCAGAAAGCAACGAUCACACGUUGUAUGAUCCAGAAUCAGCAGAGGGUGUAGCACCACAGCUCAUCAACGAAAUUAUAAGCGACAGGAAAAUCUGUUGGACCAUAUCUAACUUCAAGCCCUAUAAAACGCCAAGGCCGGAUGUAAUAUAUCCGGCCCAGCUACAAUACACCAUGGAACGUACAAGGCCAUGGCUAAAUACCAUCUUUACCAACUGCAUAAAAGUCGGCAACAUUCCUGGAGCCUGGACAGAAGUCAAGGUAGUCUUCACACCGAAAGCGGGCAGAGCCUCUCAUGCUAAACCUGGCGAUUUUAGGCCUAUCACCCUUUCAUCCUUUCUACUUAAGACUCUGGAAAGACUUCUGGAGACUUACAUAACACAAUCGAUUAACCCUACUCUGUUAUCUAACGCGCAACAUGCCUACAGCAAGAGCAAAUCCACGGAGACUGCCCUCCACUCGCUAGUCUCAAAAAUUGAGCAAUCACUAGAACCGGCUCUUACACCCCCCCAAACUCGAUGGCUCAAGCCUGGAAUUUAAGCGUACUGCCAAAUAUCUUGGAGGAAUUCUUGAGAGCAAACUGCUCUGGAAUGACAACACAAUGGAACGUAUCAACGCUCUUCACAUGUUAAAAGGCGAUCGGUGUAUCGUGGGGCUUCUCACCUAAGAUAGUUCACUGGAUCUACACUGCUAUUGUUCGACCGAUUCUGCUUUACGGAGCCCUAGUAUGGUGGCCUACACUUGAUAAGACAACGGCGCUCAGGCAACUUCAAAAGGUACAAAGGAGUGCGGAGCUAUGUAUAAGUGGAGCUGUUUGUUCCUCCCCGACUGAAGCUCUUAACGCGAUUCUACAUCUGCCCCGCUUGAUGUACUAGCUCGGGAAAUAGCCACUAUUGCAGCCUUAAUACUUAGAGAGGCAGGCUUCUGGACUCAUGGUCCAUCAGGCCAUUCGAUAAUCCUAGGGACAAGGGCGCACAUACCGAUACCUGCAAGUAAUGACUACUGCAUGCCAUCAAACACCUUCACUAAAAACUAUAUAAUUACCAUACCAACUCGAAAGGACUGGGAUACUAGGCCUCACCAUAUACGCAACGCUAUAAACAUUUACACUGAUGGCUCCAAGCUCGACGGAAGGUCAGGGGAGGAGUCUUCUCCCCGGAGCUGGAACUGGAAACAUAUUCCCUACCACUGCAGUGUAUACCAGCCGAAGGUGCUGGCUAUUCAGGAGGCCACUCGGCACCUAGUAACAACACCCAAGGAGAAAAAAACAGGUAUUUAUCUUCUCUGACAGUCAAGCAGCCUUGAAAGCUCUAGACACAUGCGUAGACAACACAAAGUCCCUAACUGAAUGCCGCAGAUUCCUAAACAGGAUGGCCCAGCAUUAUAGAAUACAACUCAUAUGGGUGCCUGGACACCGAGAUAUUGAGGGCAACUGCAAAGCUGACGAAGUGGCGAGGAAUGGUACGACCACCCCCUCCCUUCCGGGGAAGGACACGGUAGGUAUACCAAUGGCCACUUUCAAACUACAUGCAAGGAAUAGCACCAUACAAGCAGCAAACGAACGCUGGAGGAACCUCUCCUUCUGUGGAACGGCUAGGCUUACAUGGCCUUCCUGUGAUAAAAAAACGCACGUCUGCACUCUCAGGGUUAAAACGGACCGAGGCAUCUAUUCUCACGGGAAUUCUUACAGGUCGGCUAAAGACGUUCGGUAAGCCCUCUACAAGGCGGAGUAAGCGCCGCAACAUCAUAGGGGAUAUAGGUUGCAUAUGGUAUCACAAUGGGCCUUUCCUUGGCCUAAGAGUAAGGGGGAGUCACUCUCUCUAGCCAUCUCAGCCUAACCUAGUCUCUGCCGCUACCGAAUUGAUUACAUUGAUGAUGUCGAUGACCACCGGAUCGGUCGUGGAACACUUGAGGUCCAAUUCUGUUUGCCCAUCGAUUAAAAGGUUCCCAUUCGGUGUAUCAAUUGGGACUUCCUGUUCAAAUGAAAAGGUAAAGAAUGCAAGUAAAAUUAGUAGCGGAAAUUAAAAUGUGUGAGUGAAUAUGUUUUUAUUAUUUUAGAAAUCUAGUAAUCAGGGCUAUCACGGAAUUCAUCGUACGACUUCAAAUGCUUGCUAUGAAUACGAAAAAAAUUGUUAACGCUGAAUUCGAGUGAACUCGAAAAUAUCGUUGCCACCUUCAAAUGCUGAUUCUAAAUCAGGUAGUGCAAAGGAAGCAAUAGACAUUUAUGUAUGCCGUUUUGCUCAUGCUGCCCCAGCAGUUGCGAUGGCCGAGUGAGCAAAUCACUAUACUGCCAAUUGGGAGAUCCGAGUUCGAGCCCGAGUCGUCGAGCAGCGGAGCUUUUUUUCUUUUUUGA